CCCGAAAGAUCGAACGGGGAGAUUCACCGUCAGCGAGGUUCGGCUUCGCCGCGGUUCGCGAUGCGUUGAACCAAGCGUUCUCGGCGCACGCGGUCGCGUCGCGUCAUGACCUGCCGCGUAGGCGUGCACUUCUCCCCUAGUAGGACGUCGCGACCCGUUGGGCGUCGGCAUAAGGCCCGUGAGACAGACUGGGGCGGCGCUCGCGCCGUUUCAGAUUCACGGUAGCCCGGCCUGCUGCCCGGCGGUACACGCACGGUAUUGAGCCGCAUCGAACAUGCGUCCAGUUCGUCGCAAGCGCGGUCAGCGAUACCCGGUGGUCGGACCUAGCGCCGUCCCCGGUCCUGAUCAAGCUGUUGGCAGACGACUACCUCGGACGGCUCGCUCGCAUAAUUACCGGUCGGCGACGCUACUGCUUUGGGUACUUUCA
rnacentral:rRNA from 1 species